GCGGGUGUGGCGAAGUUGGUAGCCGCGCGAGUCUCAGGUACUCGUGGUCGAAAGGCCGGGGAGGUUCGAAUCCUCUCACCCGCA
rnacentral:tRNA from 7 species